CCUCGACCUCGCGCCCAAAAUCCCCUUUCCUCUCCGGCGAUUUCUCCUCUCCUCCUCUCGGUGUCGCCGGCGCAAGCAACCACCGGAGCUUUGAAGGGAAAACAAAUGGCUGGUUCUUCUUCCUCAGCUCUCGGUUUCCUCUCUCCCGAUUGCUCUCUCUUGCGGAUGACCCGAAGUCGACGGAGGACGACUCUUCCUCGAUGGUCUCGGCCUCCUCGCGUCGAUUGAGGACCAUCACCGAAAUCUCGAGGGAGCUGAUGUUGUCCAAGCCUUCUCCAGUGAACUGAUCACUACCGCGACAAUUUCUUGCAGGCGAUCGAUUGCGGGCGAGAAAUGGUGGUCCGGCGGAGUUAGGGCACAACGAGAUUGGGAUUGCGUCGCCCCCUAGCCGGUUGACCUCCUUCAGUUCUCUUCUUGGAUCUGAUCACUGGUGCAUGCUCUGUGCCCUUACCUCAGAUGGAUUGAAGCGGGCGAUCGGGUUAGGCGUCAGAUCGAAGUAUUGGAGGAUUGCACUGUUGCUGAUCACUGCCACUCCAAUCCUUGAAGCUGUGGAGGUCACGGGUGAGAAGGUAAGGGGUUGUUGAGGGUUCUUGGUAGCGGUCAGCAGAGGUUCUUGUGGGCUGUGAGAUUCAGAACUUGCUACCGAAACCUCACGG